GAUGAACGCUAGCGGCAGGCUUAACACAUGCAAGUCGAGGGGUAGAAGUUGCUUGCAACUUUGAGACCGGCGCACGGGUGCGUAACGCGUAUGCAAUCUACCUUAUACAGAGGGAUAGCCCAGAGAAAUUUGGAUUAAUACCUCAUAGUAUAAUUGAAUGGCAUCAUUUAAUUAUUAAAGUUCCAACGGUAUAAGAUGAGCAUGCGUCCUAUUAGCUAGAUGGUAAGGUAACGGCUUACCAUGGCAACGAUAGGUAGGGGUCCUGAGAGGGAGAUCCCCCACACUGGUACUGAGACACGGACCAGACCCCUACGGGAGGCAGCAGUGAGGAAUAUUGGACAAUGGGCGCAAGCCUGAUCCAGCCAUGCCGCGUGCAGGAAGAAGCAUCUAUGGUGUGUAAUCUGCUUUUGUACGGGAAGAAACACCCCUUCGUGAAGGGACUUGACGGUACCGUAAGAAUAAGGAUCGGCUAACUCCGUGCCAGCCGCCGCGGUAA
rnacentral:rRNA from 1 species